rnacentral:rRNA from 1 species
GGGGGAAAAAUUAAUAAUUUAAAUUUAUUAAUAAAAAAAAUUUUAAUAUUAAAAAGAAUUUAAUGGGGGUUAAAGUAUUUUUAAUAGAAAAAAUUUAAAAAUUUAUAGUUUAAUAUGUAUUGUGAAAGAAUUUUGAAAUAUAAUGAAAAAAAAAUUAAUAAAAAGUAAUUUUAAUUUGGUGUAUCUUGUGUAUCAGAGUUUAUUAAAAAUAAUUUUUAAGGUAAAAUUUCUCGAAUUUAAAAGAGAUAAUUAAUUAAUAAAUUUAUUGUUGUAAAAAUAUUUUUAAUAGUUAAUUUGAAAUGAAAUGUUAAUCGUUUUUAAAUAUAUCUAGUUUUUUUAGAAAAAAAUUUAAUUUUGAAUUUAAUUAAAAUUUUUAUAAAGUUUAUUUAAUAAUUUUAUGAAAUUUAAAUUUAAUAUUUUAAGGGAUAAGCUUUAAAAUAAAAUAUUAUAAAUUAAUAAUUUGAAAUUAAUUAAAAUUUUUAAAAUUUAUAUUGUUUAAAAAUUAUAUUUUAUUAUAAAUAAUUUUAAUUAAAAGAAAAAUUUAAUAUAAUUUUAAUUUUUUAUAGAAAAAAAAUUUUUAAUUUUAAAAAUUUUAUUAUAAUGAUAAAAUUAGUAUAUUAGUUUAAUUAAAAAUAUUAUUUAAUUAAUAAAAGGUAGUUAAAAAGAAUUCGGCAAAAUUUUAUAUUCACCUGUUUAUCAAAAACAUGUCUUUUUGAAAAUAAUUUAAAGUCUAAUCUGCCCACUGAUUAAUAUAUUGAAGGGCUGCAGUAUUUUGACUGUACAAAGGUAGCAUAAUCAUUAGUCUCUUAAUUGGUGACUUGUAUGAACGAUUGGAUGAAAUAUAUACUGUUUCUUAAUUAUUAUAUAGAAUUUAAUUUUUUAAUUAAAAAGUUAAAAUAAUUUUAAAAGACGAGAAGACCCUAUAGAGUUUAAUAAAUAUUUAAAUUAAAAUUAAUUAUAAGAUAAGAAUUAAAAUUUAUUUAUUUAUUUUGUUGGGGUGAUAGAAAAAUUUAAUUAACUUUUUUUUUUAAUUUAACAUAAAUAAGUGAAUUUAUUGAUCCAUAAUUUUUGAUUAAAAGAAAAAAUUACCUUAGGGAUAACAGCGUAAUUUUUUUUUUUAGUUCAUAUAAAAAAAAAAGUUUGCGACCUCGAUGUUGGAUUAAGAUAAAAUUUAAAUGCAGAAGUUUAAAAUUUUGAUCUGUUCGAUCAUUAAAAUCUUACAUGAUCUGAGUUCAAACCGGUGUAAGCCAGGUUGGUUUCUAUCUUUAAUCAAAUAAAAUAUUUUAGUACGAAAGGAUUAAAUAUUUAAAAUAAUUUUAUUUAAUUGAUUUUUAAUAAUUAAUUUUUAAAAUU